rnacentral:rRNA from 1 species
AGUAACGCGUGGGUAACCUGCCCUUGAAUCUGGGAUAACUUCGCGAAAGUGUUGCUAAUACCGGAUAUCGUUUCGGGAACUGUGGUUCUUGGAAUGAAAGGUGAUCUCUUCAUGAAAAUUGCCGUUCGUGGAGGGGCCCGCGUACCAUUAGCUUGUUGGUGGGGUAAUGGCCUACCAAGGCGACGAUGGUUAGCUGGUCUGAGAGGAUGAUCAGCCACACUGGAACCGAAACACGGUCCAG